AUUGAACGCUGGCGGCGUGCCUAACACAUGCAAGUCGAGCGGUAACAGGUGUAGCAAUACAUGCUGACGAGCGGCGAACGGGUGAGUAAUGCUUUGGAAUCUUCCCAGUGGUGGGGAAUAACCAGUCGAAAGAUUGGCUAAUACCGCAUACGUCUGUAAAGGGAAAGCGGGGGCUCGUAAGACCUCGCGCUAUUGGAUGAGCCAAAGUCGGAUUAGCUAGUUGGGGGGUAAUGGCCUACCAAGGCGACAAUCCGUAGCUGGUCUGAGAGGACGACCAGCCACACCGGAACUGAGACACGGUCCGGACUCCUACGGGAGGCAGCAGUGGGGAAUAUUGGACAAUGGGGGAAACCCUGAUCCAGCGACGCCGCGUGUGUGAAGAAGGCCUGCGGGUUGUAAAGCACUUUUAGUGGGGACAAAAAGCUACGGAUUAAUACUCUGUGGUCUUGAUUUAACCCAAAGAAAAGCACCGGCUAACUCUGUGCCAGCA
rnacentral:rRNA from 1 species